rnacentral:rRNA from 1 species
CCUACGGGGGGCAGCAGUGAGGAAUAUUGGUCAAUGGACGAGAGUCUGAACCAGCCAAGUAGCGUGAAGGAUGACUGCCCUAUGGGUUGUAAACUUCUUUUAUAUGGGAAUAAAAUGUUACACGUGUGGGAUUUUGUAUGUACCAUAUGAAUAAGGAUCGGCUAACUCCGUGCCAGCAGCCGCGGUAAUACGGAGGAUCCGAGCGUUAUCCGGAUUUAUUGGGUUUAAAGGGAGCGUAGGUGGAUUGUUAAGUCAGUUGUGAAAGUUUGCGGCUCAACCGUAAAAUUGCAGUUGAAACUGGCAGUCUUGAGUACAGUAGAGGUGGGCGGAAUUCGUGGUGUAGCGGUGAAAUGCUUAGAUAUCACGAAGAACUCCGAUUGCGAAGGCAGUUCACUGGACUGCAACUGACACUGAGGCUCGAAAGUGUGGGUAUCAAACAGGAUUAGAUACCCCAGUAGUC